UUCUUAUCAAGAGUGGUGGAGGGAAUCGGCCCAGUGAAACCCAGCAGCGGAGCGCAAGUUCUAUGCUAAUUCCGAUCAGAAGUAAUAUUCUGGCAGAUAAGUA
rfam:Listeria monocytogenes EGD-e, complete genome